ensembl:lncRNA
CCCUCCCGCCCCUUCCCAGAUACUCAGCUUUUUGUCCUGCAUCUAAUGUUUUCAUUAGGAAACUGGGCGCAACCAAGUCAAGGAGGGAAGGAUUAGAGAGCAAGAGAGCAAACGCAGGGCAAAGAGGGAAAGAGGGAGUUUCUGGAGGAGAAGAAUUUUUUGGUUUUUCAGUGUGAUUUUGAAUUAAAGGAGAACUUGGGGUUCUCACAUUUUCUCUUUUUUCUUUCCUUCACACUCUCUCCACUCUUUGACACCAGCUGCUUGCCAGCUUUUAUCAUGAUCUGCCCUUCCAGCUCCUCCAUUGGAUUCCUCCUCCUCCUGAUUGGCUACGCUGCAGCAGUGAGGAGGAGAGGCUGGAAAGAGCUCCAUUCACUGAAAAAAAUCUGUGUUCUGGUUUGGCUUCAAGCCCAGCAACACGCUGACGGAUCAGCUUGUCCACCCAAAGAACAAAACUCUCAGGCAUAGGCAGAGAAUUGUAGAACACAGAGUUUAGUGCAAUGAGGAAUGCACUGACCGCUACACUGAGAAAACUAAACAACCGCUUCACAAGCACAUGGAGAUCCAGAUCCUCAGGCCAGGACUAAACAGUGCACCCACAUCAAGACAAGGUACAUUCAUCUGAGGGCAACAACGCACACAUUUCAUCCAGAGGAGACAGAUGGUUUGAUGGACUGAUGAAAGAAACCAUUCAUGUCAAACUGGACCUGUCUGUACUAUAGACAUUAGAGGUGGUGGUCUACUGCACCACUCAUCAGUCACUUACAAUGCAGUUGCAGGGUAAAUGUUUGCUCAGAUGGGGUUAAUAUUACUUUAUGCAGAAUUAUUAAAUAGUGUAAAUGACAUUUGACCAGCGAAGCAUUUAGAAUUGACAAAUAUAAUAAAUCAACACAUGAAGCAUCUCUUGCUGCAGACAAGAAGAGCCU